rnacentral:rRNA from 1 species
ACACCGGCGGCCCGACUGGUGACCACAAUUAUUGGGCCUAAAGCGUCCGUGGCCGGGCGAGUAGGUCCUGGGUGAAACCCACGGGCUUAACCCGUGGAAGGGCCUGGGAUACCGCUCGCCUAGGGACCGGGAGAGGCGGGGGGUAGGCCCGGGGUAGGGGUAAAAUCCUAUAAUCCCGGGAGGACCACCGGUGGCGAAGGCGCCCCGCUGGAACGGGUCCGACGGUGAGGGACGAAGGCCAGGGGAGCGAACCGGAUUAGAAACCCCGGUAGUCC